rnacentral:rRNA from 1 species
UACGUAGGUGGCAAGCGUUGUCCGGAAUUAUUGGGCGUAAAGCGCGCGCAGGCGGUCCUUUAAGUCUGAUGUGAAAGCCCACGGCUCAACCGUGGAGGGUCAUUGGAAACUGGGGGACUUGAGUGCAGGAGAGAAGAGUGGAAUUCCACGUGUAGCGGUGAAAUGCGUAGAGAUCGGGAAGAACAUCAGUGGCGAAGGCGGCCUGCUGGGCUGUUGCUGACGCUGAGGCGCGACAGCGUGGGGAGCAAACAGG